ACCUGAGUGGAUCUCCAGGCAGGAGGUGCUUUGAAGGUGGUGUCCCCUGCUGUGUCCCUUCCUCUCUCUGGGGAGCAGGCUGGCUCCGCUCUGACCUAGUUCAGCAGCUCCAGAGAGCAGAUGAGAGAUGGAAGGGUUUUGUGGCAUCAUGUUGCACCUUGAGUGCUUCCUGGUCCACUGGCUUGAGUUUCCUGGAGACAAAGGCUGGGCUUAGCCCUGCCAGUGCUCAGUCAGGGCUGGCUCUGGUGGCACUGGUGACAUCAAGGACAUCUUAUGUGGCUGUUGUAGCUCAGUUCUGCAGUUCCCAUCCGGUUCAGUUGUUGUUUCACAUCACAGCAGUGACUGCAGAGUCCUCCUGAAUUACACAUGAGUUUGGGGAGAACCGUGGUCUCUUUGGCUGUGUUUGCUGCUUUAAUUAGAACACAAGAUAAAGCUCGUGGCUUUAUCCUGCAGAGAGGGCAGGGGUAGGUGGCUGGGAGGUUUCUGGGGCUGAGGAGAUGUGCCUGUUUGCUUUCCAUCACCACUCUCAGCCAGGAACCACACUGCCCUGUGCUUAACCUGUGAUUGCAGCAAAGACCCUGCCGUGUUUCUCCCCAGCAGCAUGUGAGAGAGUCAGGGCAGAGGAUGUUGCACUUGGAAUCUCCAAGGUUAAGAGGGAAAUCAUGUCAAGAGGCAGCAGAACUGGUGGGCUUUUCCUGCUGCUUGGUGUGUUAAGGGAUUGGGAAACUGGGAUUAGGACAGUCCUGCCAUGCAGCUGUAAAGGGCUUGGGGCCCUGGAGCUUUCCUGAAGUUAGGUUGGAUGCAGUAUCUGUCCCCUUCAUCUGGGGGGUCUUGAUCUCAGCAGAUAUUUGAGUACUGCCAUUUUAGUGUGACACUCCCUCUGGGCUUAACCUGGCAGGAGAAGGCCAGAAAUGAACAGCAGCAACUCCUGGAGGUUUCCUGCAGCCUCUUGCAUGGUGUUCUCACUGGAGAUGUUCCUGGCAGGGCUGGCUCCUGCAGGAAGGAUCACUGGUGCUUUGGGACAGACUAGGGGCAGAAGGGGACGUGCCAACUUGUGAAGCAGCAGGUUGCUGGUUUCCUUCAGGAAUUGCACUGUUCUGGGGCCACAUGCAGGCAGCUGCUGCCUGGAGCCUUGGCUGGGCAGUGGCUGUGGACGUGCCCUGGCUGUGGGGAUUGCCUGAAUUGUGGGGCUGUGUGCCACCAGGCUUGUGCUGGCCGUGGUGUGCGAGGGGACGCUACCACUUUGUAGAUUCCCGAGCUGUCCAUCUGUUUCAUUGUUGUAUUGUUUGGGUUCUAGGGUUGUUUUUUAUGAAGACAGAUUAAAUGUAAAUAGCCUUUUUUUUGGAACAAACUGCAACGUGCUCGACCUCGUCAACUAUUUUAUGGUACUAAUGCAACACUAAUAAAACUGGACAUGAAAGCACA